UGGGGAAUAUUGGACAAUGGGCGAAAGCCUGAUCCAGCAAUGCCGCGUGAGUGAUGAAGGCCCUAGGGUUGUAAAGCUCUUUUACCCGGGAUGAUAAUGACAGUACCGGGAGAAUAAGCUCCGGCUAACUUCGUGCCAGCAGCCGCGGUAAUACGAGGGGAGCUAGCGUUGUUCGGAAUUACUGGGCGUAAAGCGCGCGUAGGCGGUUUUUUAAGUCAGAGGUGAAAGCCCGGGGCUCAACCCCGGAAUUGCCUUUGAAACUGGAAAACUAGAAUCUUGGAGAGGUCAGUGGAAUUCCGAGUGUAGAGGUGAAAUUCGUAGAUAUUCGGAAGAACACCAGUGGCGAAGGCGACUGACUGGACAAGUAUUGUCGCUGAGGUGCGAAAGCGUGGGGAGCAAACAGGA
rnacentral:rRNA from 1 species